UCAACAAAGCUCAGCACAAAACCCUGUGAUUGACUUGAGACUGAGCGACACGAUCCAUAAACUCAUCGCAUUGUGAUUGACCCUGUUACCUGUGGAGGAAAACAUACAGAGAGCACUCAUCACAUAAUGCUGCUAUUGGCUCCAAGCCUGCAGAGCACAACAUCCAUGCACAUUAUUUAUCACUGUGAUUAGGUCGUAGCCUGUGACACUCAACAUAGAUGCACAUUACAUAUCACUGUGAUUAGGCCGUAGCUUGUGACACUCAACAUCCAUGCACAUUAUUUAUCACUGUGAUUAGGUCGUAGCCUGUGACACUCAACAUAGAUGCACAUUACAUAUCACUGUGAUUAGGCCGUAGCUUGUGACACUCAACAUCCAUGCACAUUACAUAUCACUGUGAUUAGGCCGUAGCUUGUGACACUCAACGUCCAUGCACAUUACAUAUCACUGUGAUUAGGCCGUAGCUUGUGACACUCAACGUCCAUGCACAUUACAUAUCACUGUGAUUAGGCCGUAGCUUGUGACACUCAACAUCCAUGCACAUUACAUAUCACUGUGAUUAGGCCGUAGCUUGUGACACUCAACGUCCAUGCACAUUACAUAUCACUGUGAUUAGGCCGUAGCUUGUGACACUCAACAUCCAUGCACAUUACAUAUCACUGUGAUUAGGCCGUAGCUUGUGACACUCAACAUCCAUGCACAUUACAUAUCACUGUGAUUAGGCCGUAGCUUGUGACACUCAACAUAGAUGCACAUUACAUAUCACUGUGAUUAGGCCGUAGCUUGUGACACUCAACAUCCAUGCACAUUACAUAUCACUGUGAUUAGGCCGUAGCUUGUGACACUCAACAUCCAUGCACAUUACAUAUCACUGUGAUUAGGCCGUAGCUUGUGACACUCAACAUCCAUGCACAUUACAUAUCACUGUGAUUAGGCCGUAGCCUGUGACACUCAACGUCCAUGCACAUUACAUAUCACU